rnacentral:rRNA from 1 species
UAGGGAAUCUUCGGCAAUGGGGGCAACCCUGACCGAGCAACGCCGCGUGAGUGAAGAAGGUUUUCGGAUCGUAAAGCUCUGUUGUAAGAGAAGAACGUGUGUGAGAGUGGAAAGUUCAUACAGUGACGGUAACUUACCAGAAAGGGACGGCUAACUACGUGCCAGCAGCCGCGGUAAUACGUAGGUCCCGAGCGUUGUCCGGAUUUAUUGGGCGUAAAGCGAGCGCAGGCGGUUUAAUAAGUCUGAAGUUAAAGGCAGUGGCUUAACCAUUGUUCGCUUUGGAAACUGUUAAACUUGAGUGCAGAAGGGGAGAGUGGAAUUCCAUGUGUAGCGGUGAAAUGCGUAGAUAUAUGGAGGAACACCGGUGGCGAAAGCGGCUCUCUGGUCUGUAACUGACGCUGAGGCUCGAAAGCGUGGGGAGCAAACAGG